rnacentral:rRNA from 1 species
AGAUUGAACGCUGGCGGCAGGCCUAACACAUGCAAGUCGAGCGGUAGAGAGGUGCUUGCACCUCUUGAGAGCGGCGGACGGGUGAGUAAUGCCUAGGAAUCUGCCUAGUGGUGGGGGAUAACGUUCGGAAACGGACGCUAAUACCGCAUACGUCCUACGGGAGAAAGCGGGGGACCUUCGGGCCUCGCGCCAUUAGAUGAGCCUAGGUCGGAUUAGCUAGUUGGUGAGGUAAUGGCCCACCAAGGCGACGAUCCGUAACUGGUCUGAGAGGAUGAUCAGUCACACUGGAACUGAGACACGGUCCAGACUCCUACGGGAGGCAGCAGUGGGGAAUAUUGGACAAUGGGCGAAAGCCUGAUCCAGCCAUGCCGCGUGUGUGAAGAAGGUCUUCGGAUUGUAAAGCACUUUAAGUGGAGAAGGCAGUUACCUAAUACGUAUCUGUUUUGACGUUACCGACAGAAUAAGCACCGGCUAACUCUGUGCCAG